GACGAACGCUGGCGGCGUGCUUAACACAUGCAAGUGGAGCGACGAACCAGGCUUCGGCCUGGGGCAGAGCCGCGAACGGGUGAGUAACACGUGGGUAACCUGCCCUGAUGAUCGGGACAACCCGGGGAAACCCGGGCUAAUACCGAAUGUGCCCGCGAGCCGCAAGGCUUGCGAGGAAAGAGCUUCGGCCUCCGCAUCGGGAUGGGCCCGCGGCCCAUUAGCUUGUUGGUGGGGUAACGCCUACCAAGGCAGCAAUGGGUAGCUGGUCUGAGAGGACGAUCAGCCACACUGGGACU
rnacentral:rRNA from 1 species